GAGGGUAUAGCUCAACUGGUAGAGUGCAUGCUUAGUCAUGCACAAGGUCCUAGGUUCAAUCCCCAGUACCUCCU
rnacentral:tRNA from 1 species